GCAUUGGAGGUUCAGUGGUAGAAUUCCCGCUUUCCAUGAGGGAGACUUGAGUUCAAUUCUCAGCCAAUGUA
rnacentral:tRNA from 1 species